rnacentral:piRNA from 1 species
CGGGCAGAGUGUGACCAGGCCUGGGGGGU